ACGAACGCUGGCGGCGUGCUUAACACAUGCCAGUCGUACGGUAAGGCCCUUUCGGGGGUACACGAGUGGCGAACGGGUGAGUAACACGUGAGUAACCUGCCCACAACUUUGGGAUAACGCUAGGAAACUGGUGCUAAUACUGGAUAUGUGCCCCUGCUGCAUGGUGGGGGUUGGAAAGCUCCGGCGGUUGUGGAUGGACUCGCGGCCUAUCAGCUUGUUGGUGGGGUAGUGGCCUACCAAGGCGGCGACGGGUAGCCGGCCUGAGAGGGUGACCGGCCACAUUGGGACUGAGAUACGGCCCAGACUCCUACGGGAGGCAGCAGUGGGGAAUAUUGCACAAUGGGCGCAAGCCUGAUGCAGCAACGCCGCGUGCGGGAUGACGGCCUUCGGGUUGUAAACCGCUUUCAGCAGGGACGAAGCUUUUUGUGACGGUACCUGCAGAAGAAGCACCGGCUAACUACGUG
rnacentral:rRNA from 1 species